rnacentral:rRNA from 1 species
CAAAGGGAUUACCGGUGGCGGAUGGGCAUGCGGCGCAUUAGCUCGUCGGCGGGGUAACGGCCCACCGAGGCGACGAUGCGUAGGGGUUCUGAGAGGAAGGUCCCCCACACUGGUACUGAGACACGGACCAGACUCCUACGGGAGGCAGCAGUGAGGAAUAUUGGUCAAUGGGCGCGAGCCUGAACCAGCCAAGUCGCGUGAGGGAUGACGGUCCUACGGAUUGUAAACCUCUUUUGCCGGGGAGCAAGCGUGCGUUCGUGAACGCGCGUCGAGAGUACCCGGAGAAAAAGCAUCGGCUAACUCCGUGCCAGCAGCCGCGGUAAUACGGAGGAUGCGAGCGUUAUCCGGAUUUAUUGGGUUUAAAGGGUGCGUAGGCGGGAUGCCAAGUCAGCGGUAAAAAUGCGGUGCUCAACGCCGUCGAGCCGUUGAAACUGGCGUUCUUGAGUGGGCGAGAAGUAUGCGGAAUGCGUGGUGUAGCGGUGAAAUGCAUAGAUAUCACGCAGAACUCCGAUUGCGAAGGCAGCAUACCGGCGCCCUACUGACGCUGAGGCACGAAAGCGUGGGUAUCGAACAGGAUUAGAUACCCUGGUAGUCCACGCAGUAAACGAUGAAUGCUAGCUGUCCGG